GCUGGCGGCGGGUCUACACAUGCAAGUCGAGGGACGAACCGAGUGCUUGCACUUGGGGAAACCGGCGAACGGGUGAGUAACACGUGAGGAACCUGCCCUGUACACCGGGAUAACUACGGGAAACCGUGGCUAAUACCGGAUGCUCCACCGUGAUCGCAUGAUCGUGGUGGGAAAGCUCAGGCGGUACAGGAGGGCCUCGCGGCGUAUCAGCUAGUUGGUGGGGUAAUGGCCCACCAAGGCUACGACGCGUAGCUGGAGUGAGAGCUCGAACAGCCACACUGGGACUGAGACACGGCCCAGACUCCUACGGGAGGCAGCAGUGGAGAAUCUUGCGCAAUGGGCGAAAGCCUGACGCAGCCACGCCGCGUGCGGGAAGAAGGCCUUCGGGUCGUAAACCGCUUUCAGGAGGGAAGAAGCGAAAGUGACGGUACCUCCAGAAGAAGGUCCGGCUAACUACGUGCCAGCAGCCGCGGUAAUAC
rnacentral:rRNA from 1 species